ACCGAUAAACUUUGUGAUUGUUCUUUCGAACAAUCGAUCGGUCGUCGGUCAACAAUGCUGUUUCCUGUGCCGGUGAUUGUUACUGGUUCCCGGCGUUUCCAGGCUGCUACAAAACAUCUGUCCGGAAACUGGUACGAAUCAUGCAUGAGUUCCGGUGAUACCUGCCUGUGUUAAGGCACAUCACACAGUUGGUUCCAAGCGAUCCCAUUCCAGUCAGAAGCGUGCUGGCGGAAACAUGAGCAAGCAAGAAGAUUACGUUGAAGAAUCGUGUCCAGAGUUUUCGGCGGUACGGAGCAAACUAAAAGCAAAAAAAAGAUGCGGAAGUGCCAAAGUGAUCGGAGGAAUCGAAGCUGGUGGGACUGGCGAUUGUGCUGGUAGAGAAAGUUGCGACAUAUUAAACAGAGGAAGCAGGGCGAUUUCGAAUUCAAACUUCAACAUUCCGCUGACUAUGGUGGAAUUCCGAUAUUAGUCCUCAUUAACGAAUCCGAGUCCAACACGCCAUUUGUCGGAAAUCAUAUGUAUAAGCUUUCCUGACCGGCUGCAAACAGGGUUGAAGAAAACCUGAUGUGAUGACCAGCUGAAGCCCGUUGUGUCGCAGAAGGCCCGAAUUCGGAUAUACUUAGUAAUGUUGCGGGUAAUGCAAUA